GUGUCAAGUAAGAAAUUGCUGUGUCUGAGGUCAGAGAGGUUUUUUCCUGCUUUCCCCUCUAGGGUUUUGAUGGUUCCCUCUCUCAAUUUCAGGUCCUUUAUCCUGUUGACUUUAUUUUUGUAAAUUUAGAUGAGGAAGUUCUUUAAUUU